rnacentral:rRNA from 1 species
UAGGGAAUAUUGCAAAAUGGGCGAAAGCCCGAUGCAGCAACGCCGCGUGGGCGAUGAAGGCCUUCGGGUCGUAAAGCCCUUUUUGAGGGGAUGAGGAAGGACAGUACCCUCAGAAUAAGCCUCGGCUAACUACGUGCCAGCAGCCGCGGUAAAACGUAGGAGGCGAGCGUUAUCCGGAUUUACUGGGUGUAAAGGGUGCUCAGGCGGAUUUGUAAGUCAGAGGUGAAAUCUUACAGCUUAACUGUGAAACUGCCUUUGAUACUGCAAGCCUAGAGUAUGGAAGAGAGUGAUGGAAUAUCUGGUGUAGCAGUGAAAUGCGUAGAUAUCAGAUAGAACACCAAUGGCGAAGGCAGUCACUUGGUCCAUUACUGACGCUAAAGCACGAAAGCGUGGGUAGCAAACA